rnacentral:rRNA from 1 species
CCUACGGGUGGCAGCAGUGAGGAAUAUUGGUCAAUGGGCGCGAGCCUGAACCAGCCAAGCCGCGUGAGGGAGGAAGGCCCUGAGGAUUGUAAACUUCUUUUGUCAGGGAACAAAGUGAGGGACGCGUGCCCGUAUGCGUGUACUUGAUGAAUAAGCAUCGGCUAACUCCGUGCCAGCAGCCGCGGUAAUACGGAGGAUGCGAGCGUUAUCCGGAUUUAUUGGGUUUAAAGGGUGCGGAGGCGGCGUUUUAAGUCAGCGGUGAAAGCCGGUGGCUAAACCACCGAAUUGCCGUUGAAACUGGGGGGCUUGAGUGUGAGAGAGGCAGGCGGAAUGCGCGGUGUAGCGGUGAAAUGCAUAGAUAUCGCGCAGAACCCCGAUUGCGAAGGCAGCAUGCCGGGCCAUCACUGACGCUGAGGCACGAAAGCGUGGGGAGCAAACAGGAUUAGAUACCCCAGUAGUC